rnacentral:rRNA from 1 species
GACGAACGCUGGCGGCGUGCUUAACACAUGCAAGUCGAGCGGGAUCCAUCUAGUCGCAAGACUGGGGAAGAUCUAGCGGCGAACGGGUGAGUAACACGUGAGAAACCUGCCCUGAAGUCUGGGAUAACCCGAGGAAACUCGAGCUAAUACCGGAUGCCUUCAUUUGAUCGCAUGGUCGAAUGAAGAAAGAUUCAUUGCUUCAGGAGGGUCUCGCGGCCUAUCAGCUAGUUGGCGGGGUAACGGCCCACCAAGGCGUCGACGGGUAGCUGGUCUGAGA